CAGAUUUCACUUGCAAGAAGUUGAAGCUCUAUAAGUGGAAAAAAAUUACUGAUUUCAAAAUUGAAAAACUCAUCUUCAAAACCUAACCAAAAAAUCAUUCCAAUGUAUAACCAAACAAUGUUUCGAAAAUAUUUUUUGGAAAAAAGGGGAAAACUUUCUAUGUUGAAAAGGUUUCUAGGAUAGUUGUUGGUUUGUGAUGGUGUGGUUUGUCUUCUUAUGAGGUGCUAGUGGGGGUGAAAGGUAGGUUCUUAGGUGAUGGAUGGCUGUAUGAAGAGGGUGGUGGUCAAGUUACCUCUUCAAGCUAUUUGAGGGCGAUUUUUUCUUUUCUAUAUUGCCAUGUAUGCAGUUAUGCUAGUAUGGUUCCAUGACUACUUUAGUUUCACGGAUUUAUGUGCUUUUGGUUUGUGUCUCCUUCACAAAGAACAAUGUAAUAUCCUCAAGUCAUAUGCUAUGGGAAUUGGACCCAGGAUUAUCUAUCUGCUUGUGAUAUGAUAAAUGAUUGAUAAGAGCAAAUUUAUCAUCAGAAUGUGCAGAACACAGGAGAGUUCAUGAUGUCAAGAUACAGGGAAGUUGCUGAAAUUGUUCUAAGAUAUCUGGAGCACUGAGAUCGCCUAGUUCGCCUCAACAUAACUUCUCUACUUCCUCGAAUUGCCCAUUUCCUGCGUGAUCAAUUUGUGACUAAUUAUUUAAUGAUAUGCAUGAAUCAUAUACUUCAUGUCCUUAAAAUACCUGCAGAACGUGCCAGUGGGUUCAUCGCUCUUGGGGAGAUGGAUGGUGCUCUGGAUGGUGAACUCAUUAACUAUUUGCCGACAAUAUCCUCUCACUUGCGUGAUGCGAUUGCUCCCCGUAGAGGCAGGCCCUCACUUGAGGCGCUAGCAAGUGUUGGAAAUAUUGCUAAAGCAAUGGGACCAACUUGGAGCCUCUCGUGGUCUCUUAGAUUCUAUGUUUUCUUCUGGGCUUUCCCUGACUCUGGUGGAAGCGUUGGAGCAAAUAACUGAAAGUAUUCCACCUUUGUUGCCGACCAUCCAAAAUCGGCUGCUUGAAUUUAUCUCUACAAUCCUUUCAAGAUCUCAUCAUUCAAUGCCAAGACAAUCAACUUCUGUGAGUCGAGGGCAUAUUACAACGGUUACCCCCCAA